rnacentral:rRNA from 1 species
AGUGAACGCUGGCGGUAGGCCUAACACAUGCAAGUCGAACGGCAGCACAGUAAGAGCUUGCUCUUACGGGUGGCGAGUGGCGGACGGGUGAGGAAUACAUCGGAAUCUACUUUUUCGUGGGGGAUAACGUAGGGAAGCUUACGCUAAUACCGCAUACGACCUACGGGUGAAAGCAGGGGAUCUUCAGACCUUGCGCGAUUGAAUGAGCCGAUGUCGGAUUAGCUAGUUGGCGGGGUAAGGGCCCACCAAGGCGACGAUCCGUAGCUGGUCUGAGAGGAUGAUCAGCCACACUGGAACUGAGACACGGUCCAGACUCCUACGGGAGGCAGCAGUGGGGAAUAUUGGACAAUGGGCGCAAGCCUGAUCCAGCCAUACCGCGUGGGUGAAGAAGGCCUUCGGGUUGUAAAGCCCUUUUGUUGGGAAAGAAAAGCAGCAGGUUAAUACCCCGCUGUUCUGACGGUACCCAAAGAAUAAGCACCGGCUAACUUCGUG